rnacentral:rRNA from 1 species
AUUGAACGCUGGCGGCAGGCCUAACACAUGCAAGUCGAACGGUAACAGAAAGCAGCUUGCUGCUUUGCUGACAAGUGGCGGACGGGUGAGUAAUGUCUGGGAAACUGCCUGAUGGAGGGGGAUAACUACUGGAAACGGUAGCUAAUACCGCAUAACGUCGCAAGACCAAAGAGGGGGACCUUCGGGCCUCUUGCCAUCGGAUGUGCCCAGGUGGGAUUAGCUAGUAGGUGGGGUAACGGCUCACCUAGGCGACGAUCCCUAGCUGGUCUGAGAGGAUGACCAGCCACACUGGGACUGAGACACGGUCCAGACUCCUACGGGAGGCAGCAGUGGGGAAUAUUGCACAAUGGGCGCAAGCCUGAUGCAGCCAUGCCGCGUGUAUGAAGAAGGCCUUCGGGUUGUAAAGUACUUUCAGCGAGGAGGAAGGUGUUGUGGUUAAUAACCACAGCAAUUGACGUUACUCGCAGAAGAAGCACCGGCUAACUCCGUGCCAGCCGCCGCGGUAA